CUGUGAGCUGAUAAAGCCCUAGAAUUAUUUCUGGGGAAUCUGUACUGUUGAUAAUUUACAGACAACCCAGGUCUGCUUUGGAUCUGAUCAGAUGGACUAAGUCUUGGAGACUCUGCACCACCAGCCGCUCAGGAAAGGGGCUGGGAAUGUUGCCUGAGAAAGGAAAACAUAGUAAGAAACACUGAUGUGAAUCAAGCAUCAGAAAGAUGAUGUGAGGACAGCAAGGAAGAGCUGGAACCUGAGGGUUUAAUCACAGGCUCCUCACCCUCUGCUGAUGGGCAGGUGUGAGAACUCCAGCAUGGAGCACCACAGCACUAGGUGGGAGGAGGGUGAGAGGGUGACGGGGCAGCCUGGCAGCUGGGACAGUGUAGGCAUAAGAUGAACUGUUUUAUCACAGAUGCUUCUGCCCUCACCUAGCCCUCUGGCUCUGCAGGACAAGUAGAGAAUACAGGGUCCCAGGAGCACUGGACCUAAGGAAGUGUCCUGCAGGGGGAGGACACAGGACAGUGACAUCACAGGAUACCCCUCCCAUCAGGAAAAUCAAGGCCCUGAACUCAUUCAGCUCUUCCCCAGGAGGACCAAGCCCUGAAUCGGGGCGGUGUUGCCUUCCCUACUGUGCCAUGAACUCUGGGCUCUUAUGCUGGGUGCUGCUUUGUCUCCUGGGAGCAGGUGAGUCCUAUGCACAGGACAGCAGCCCCAUUCUCAGCUUUCCCACCCCGUGUCCUCUACUUUACCCUGGGGACGCACCUCCAGGCUGUCUCCUGUGCUCAUCCUCCAUCUGCUUUUCCCACAGACUCAGUUGAAGCUGGAGUCACCCAAAGACCCACACACCUGAUCAAAACGAGAGGACAGCAAGUGACUCUGAGAUGCUCUCCUAUCUCUGGGCACACCAGUGUGUCCUGGUACCAACAGGCCCUGGGUCAGCGGCCCCAGUUUAUCCUUGAGUAUGAUGAAGAGGAAGAGAGAAACAGAGGAAACUUCCCUAAUCGAUUCUCAGGUUACCAGUUCCGUGACUAUAGCUCUGAGCUGAAUGUGAGCACCUUGGAGCCGGGGGACUCGGCCCUGUAUCUCUGUGCCAGCAGCUUGGCACAGCCCAAUAGAGUCACCGACAUUCUGUAUAUAAACUUCCUGCCUCAGCUUUGACUUGAGAGCUGCUGGCCCCAGCCAGGUUUCCCUCCUUCAAGGGAAGCUUUGAGUUGUUUGGAAGGCACGUCUUGUGUCCUGCUGAGCACAGAGCUCUCCCAACCAACAGAGCCCAGGCUUCCUGUGCCCUGAGUGCUCCUGCUUCUCUGCUGCAUCUUCCUGCAUCUUGUCACUUCCUGGGUAACUUUAGAAGAAGAGUGACUGCUGAGCCCCAGAUGUGUGCCAGAUUCUUCGGAUUUGUAGUAUAUCUUCAAGCUUUCCAACAAUCUUGUAAAUCAAACAUUCUUACUCUUCCUUUCCAUAUGGAAGGCUCAGGGACAUUGAGUCAUUUCCCUUUACAAGCCAGGGGACAUUGUGUCCCCUGGCUUGUAAGGAUCAGAAAUGGGAAAUGAACUAGUCGGUGCUGAUCAAGUCCACACAUUUUCCACCUACCGCUGCUCCAUCAUCAGUUUCUGUGUCCUGGUCAGAUGACAGUGCCCUCACCCUGUCCUCCAGUGACCAGCAGGGCUGCAGUAGAGGCUCAGACAUUUCAGGGGUCAUUACUAUGGCCUCUUCAUUAGCAAUUUAAGGAAUGUUAAAUU